rnacentral:lncRNA from 10 species
CAGCUGCAGCACUUCCUCUCUACCUCAGUUGUCACAUGGUAUUCUUCCUGUCCUGUUGGUGAGUGUGCUUAUUCAGAUGGAGCCUAGACAGUUUGUGAACACUGAUUCUGCUCUUAUGGAGCUUCUUGGUACUGGCACUGAAUGGUGUGCCUUAAAGUGAAGGUAAGUGAUCCCUGGAUGGUGACUUUUCUCCUUUCCACAAGCUUCCUAUAAGUCUGGUCUCGUCCUAAUCCAGACCAAUCUCCAUUUUUCUCUUUAUAUCCCUUGCAUCUUUUCUCAUCUCCUCACCUCCUUUAGAGUCCCUCAAUGGGCAGAUUAUCUCCUUCAUCAUUUUUACCUAAUAUAGUUAUAUUGCAUAAGUUUUCACACGUCCUUGAGCCCUAUGUUUGAAAUCCAAAAGUCAAGAAUCAUCCUUUGUUUCUGUGAUCUUGUGUGUCAUCCUUUCUAUGAGUAGCGAACAUUCAAAUGACUGGCUCAAUGAGGAGGUGGCCAGAAGAUAGAAAGGAAUACUGUGAAUAGAAACCUCACCAAUUAAAAUUUCAGAAGUAUCUUACUCUGUGAGGAUUAAAAGAGGCUAUGAAUAGACAGUGCUUACCACAUACCAGGUCUCAAUGUAACAUCAAUUUUCUACUCUAAAGGAUAAUGUUUUGCAGAGUUGGUACUAAGAUCACAACUUUUGUUUACACCUUGCCUGAUGCCUUUGACUUCACACUUUACAUCCCCAA